rnacentral:lncRNA from 1 species
AUGAACUUGUUCUCCUCCAGGGGCCAGGAGGUCUGCUUAUAUAGUCCCCUCAAGUGAAUCUGGGCCGUCGGAUCAAACCAACAUUGAUUGAACGGUUAUCCUUGAUCCUUGAGGUCGGUGGAGCGUAAUCCACGAAACGGGUCCUGUUUGGACUCAGGGACAGGGCGGGCGCCCUAGGGGGAGGGCGGGCGCCCUGCCCUCAGGCCUGUUCGCCUUCCCGUUCGUUCCCGUGGCUUCUGGAGUCUUUUAGAUGACAGAAAAUUGCGCGACAUGUUAAUAUCUCUAUGUAAACCCGACGUGUGGGCCUUUCUUCCGUAUUUCCUGAUAACCCCCUGCAGAAAUAGACAAACACCAAAACUCGUGGAAUUCUGUCAGAUAAAACCCUAAGUUUGGGUGUUGGUUGCAUUUGGAUCCAUUUCUUUAUUUGUUUGAUGAUUAUAUUUGGUACUUAAGGACCGUCAACAACUCUCCCAAGCUUACCUCUUACUCGUCCCAGAGCAAGGAUGAACUCAAGAGUUUAUGCAGUGGUUUCAUGCCUUAAAAGUAAGAUCUCAUCUCUGUGUUAGAGUAAACUGUUAAGACUUAAAAUUUACUCAUUUUACCUUUCACCAUGGGGCUUGUAACCGUCACUUGUGUCUUGAGCAGUUAAAAGAUAGAACGGUCAAGUUAAGCGCCAUGUCUCUUGUUCUUUGAUUAACUAUAGCUCUGGAGUUUUUGCAGAUUGUCAAAUAAAACUCAGAGAUUCCUUAUAUGACUCUCUCGGAUCUCUCUUUUGUGGUAUUUCUAGAUCCUUACCAAGGCAGUAAUGGUAUAUGCCUUCUCUCAAAGUAUGUGGUAACUUUGAUAUAAGACAUAGUGAUAUUGCCUUCUCUCUCACCCUACUCUAAUAAAGUUUUGAUAUCUAGAGCUCAUAGGUGGGAGACAGCUAAUACAUACUUACAAGACAUUUAUUGCAUAGUCAAACCAUGGAUCCAGAGAAACAAGUCAAUAAGUCAAAUCAAGAUGUGCAUGUGUGGCGAGUGAAUGGUGUAUGGUGAUGAUGGUGAUAAUUCUACUUUUGCUCUUUUUAACGGGAUACGUACCUUCCUUGAUCUUUUGAAACUUUUUGAGGAGAAUGAGAUGCUCUAUAUUUUCUUUUUCUUUCCUCUCAGGUGGGUAUCUUGUACCCCUAAUUCUACUGUCGGACACUUAUCCAUUUUUACCUCUCGUCUCACUCUUUCUUUUCUUCGAGGUUCCGGGCACUUGCCCCUUUUUAUUUCCACGUAUCUCUUUUUUUCUCUUUCUCUUUUUUUAGAGCACUCAUCUCUUGAAAUAAUGUAGCAAGUGGUAGUAACCAAGAUAACUUGAGCAUUUAUUUCACAGGGGAAAAUAGAAAUGUUUUUGGCCAUUCUCUCCCGGAUUAGGAGUAGAAUGUUUUUGGGUGGUUCUGGAGAUGGAAAUGGGUGGAUAUAUGUGGAUGGUACUUCCGGAGUGGAAGCAGCAUAUAUGAGUGAAUGUGCAAGUGAAUCUUGAUUUUAACCACAUGACAAGCUCCUAAGGGUCUACACAGCUUGACCACACUCAAUGCUCAUAAGCAGUAAAAAGUAAAUGUGUGGCUCAAAGUCUAGCAAGCAUGUAUACAUGGCUGUGGUAGGAAUUUAAACUCUCAUCAUAUAGGAACUCAUCAUGUGUUAUUUAAAGAUUUUCAAAGAUAAAAUUCUCUAGAAUUCUAGCAUCUCUAGGAACAGAUAAACAACAGCUCAACCUUCCCAUAUCAUAUCCAUUAAUGACUUAGACUUUAGAUCAAGUACUCUUCCCACAAGUUCAGGUUUAGAGCAGGUUUAAAUUAUAAUAGUUAUGCCUAAACUUGAGAGAGAUUUCCAUGUGAGAGCUUAUCAUAAGGGUUCAUAGCAAACUUUAUUUAUUUAUUUAUUUAUUUAUUUAGCAAACUAAGCAAAGAUAUAUAUAAAAGCACAAAAUCUUUAUUUGGGUUUUUUAUGAUUAUGCAUCUUUUUAUUAUUUGAGUAAAGUAUAAAUGCGAGUAGAAACACUUAGCUGGAUAAAUGGAGGUGCUCUCCCCAAGCUGGAUUUUGACGUAAUUUCUUCUGAUGUAGCUAGCAAGUGGCGGAGGUGUAUAUGAAUGUUGGUAGAACCCUGACAACAAUUAGGAUGUCCUCUGUCUGCUAGCCUUCUUUGAUCCUUGAAUUCUGUGGAGCUUAAAUAGACAACAAAGCUUUGUGGAACUAGUUAAGUGUUAGCAUAAAUAUCUAGCCUUUAUCAAGUUGAGCCUCCUCAAUAAAUGUUAUUUAUUUAGCAGGAUCAUGCACUUAUUAUUUUUAUAUUUUUAUUGUAAGAUGAAAACAUAUUUAUUUUAUGCCACCACAGUGAAUGUACCUAUGGGUUUUAUGCCAUGAGGAUACUCACAUGGGGCUUACUAUUUUUGACAUUUUUAUUUUCUUUUUGAGAUGAUAUGAACCUGAUUAACUAAGCAAACUAUUUUAAAUAGUUGAAAGGAAAAAGGAUAACUACCAAGUUUACCUCUUGGCAAGGCGUUCGGUGUUUUUAAGUCCUCCGAACGGGACUCCCCAUCUUCUCAGUCGUCCUGGGAUUCGCUGGAUGGCGUAGUCGGUGGUUCCGGCGACUAUAACUAUCUUCUCUUUCCACAUCUGACUCGGUGCUACGGUCUCCUCAAGACGGUUCUGUUCAAGCCGCAUGUCUUCACACCUUACCACAUCUCCUUCGUAGUCUACCCAUCCGUCCUUGAUGAUUUGCCUCCUCUGGUUUCGGUUGUGUCGCCUUCUUCAAAGGGAAGUGCAUGUGGACUUCUCCGGUUCCAAUAC